rnacentral:lncRNA from 1 species
CUCUUGGCUUUGAGACAUGGAGUCCGGUGGUCUUUGGGUGCCCCCUUGUGGACAGUUGGCUCCCUCCUGCUCUCUCCCAGCUGAAGAGGAAAGCCAGCGUCGCACUAGCAAGGGACAAGGAAGGAAGCGGCUCCAAAUGCCGUGGGAGGGACAUUCCUUGGCUCUGCCACCUGUUCCCAGAUUUCUCCUGAUUGCCGGUGAUGGAGCGGGCACCUCUACCAGCCUUGGACGAGUAUAU